rnacentral:lncRNA from 1 species
CUCUUCUGUUACCAUGGAUACAGGACCAAAUAUUUCAAAAAUUUCAAAAUGCUCCUAAAUUGAUCAAACUUAAUAUGAUUGUUGACUGGCAAGUCUGGAUGAGACUUUUGACUUUGGAAUUUCCAAAAUGGCCACCGUUGCCAUGGAAACUGCAAAAAAGUCAAAAAUUCUCAAAAUGCUUUGAACUUAAUGAAACUUGAUAUUAUUGUUAACUGGCAAGUAAAGAUGAGACUUUUGACUUUGAAAUUUUCAAAAUGGCUGCCGUUGCCAUGGAAACAGCAGAAAUGUGAAAUUUUUUAAAAUGCUCUCAAUGUACUGAAAAUUUACAGAAAGAUGUAUUGCCAUGCAUAUAUGUGCAUUCACUGUUAAACAAUUUUGAAAUGGCUGCCGCUUAGUGGCAAUUGGGGGAAGGGUGACAUCCGCUAUUGCUUGCAAUGGCAAUUCUAGUUAUGGCACCCUCAACGGAGUUGGGGUGACAUAUUGUUAUUCUACGUUUCUUUUUUUCUUAUUAUUAUGUCACCCGAUCGACAAUGUCGGGUGACAUAUUGCUUUUCCUCCGUUUGUUUUUUUUAUUAUUAUUAUUAUUAUUCACCGAUCGGUUGACAUAUUGCUUUUCUCUGUUUCUUUUUAUGGCACCCUCAACGGAGUUGGGGUGACAUAUUGUUAUUGUUCGUUUCUUUUUUUCUUAUUAUUAUAUUUAUUCUUCCACACUUUUUUGUCCAUACUAUUUCUCAGAAUUGGCUUGAACAAUAUUGAUGGAACUAUACCAUAAUGUUGACCACCACAUUAAAUAGUGCAGUGGGGUAUGGCAUCAUCAAGAUGGCUGCCGUUGCCAUGGAAACGAAACAAAUGUGAAAAAAUCCUGUUUUUUGUUUUGGUGAACUGUUUGGAUAUGCUUUAACUCAGAAUCAUUAUAUUUUAAUACAAUGUAGGUGCCCACUAUAUACAGGUGUUGGAUGAUUUUGGCACUCAUUGGAACUACUAUGUUGCCAUGGAAACUACACAAAAAAAUUUCAAAAAUAUCAAAAUGCUCAAAACUUCAUGAAACUUCACAGUAACGAUGAGCAACAUUGGAAGAUGUGGAAUUUGGCGUUGGAAUUUCCAAAAUAUCUGUUGUUACCAUGGAAACAAUGCAAAAAGGUCAAAACUUUGAAUUUUCACAGAACAUUCCAGAACAUCAAUGUUAAAUUUAUUCUAGAGACAUUAAAUGGUAUAUGAUGGUAUAUAUGAUUAUGGAGGGAAAAAUUGCAGCGGGG